CCCACGUGCUCCCUCCUUGGGUCUCCCGGUGAUAUAAUUAGCUGGUUUUAUCCAGCGGUGAGUGGGCGGCUUGCUCCCCUGGCAGCCGGCAAGGCCAGAGGAUGAUGCAACAAAAGGCAAGCCCGGGCAAGGCCGAGCCGGGGCUGUGCCGGCCAAAGAUGCUGAUGCGAUACACUGGGGUGGGGGUGGGGGUGGGGCGGGAAUAGCCGGAGUGGUUCGGAGCUGCAGGCGUCUGGGGGACCCGACUGCCUGGGGGGCAAAGCUGGCCUGCUCACUAAGCCUUGCGCUCUCACCCCACCUGCCCCUUCAGCCUUUCCCCCCACCCCUACUUAGUGACAGACACUAUUCCCAGUUCUCUGAUUCUCAACUGAGAUGGAAGUUCUGCUGAGAACUUCUAGAGCUGGAAGCAGAGGUCCUGAUGCCCUUGGGCAUAGUGGAGCUGCAGGAUGGAAAGGGCCUGAGUCCCUGAAUCAUCGUCACACCUGGAGGUCAGCUACUUGCCAACCAGAACAACUCAACUGUAUUCAUUAUGAAGAUUGUGGAGGCAAUUCUACUCCUGGGUGUAUAAUCAAGAAUAACUUGCAAAUGUAGCCCAAAGACAUGGAUAGGAAUAAUUAUAGCAGCCUUAUGGCAGAAAGUGAAGAGGAACUCAAAAGCCUCUUGAUGAAAGUGCAAGUGGAGAGUGAAAAAGUUGGCUUAAAGCUCAACAUUCAGAAAACGAAGAUCAUGGCAUCCGG